CUGGUUUGUUUAGAAAGCUCUUGACAGAACCGUUUUCCACAAGUUAUCAGAAUGAUUAAGUCAACAAUUUUUCUCAGUUUGUUACUGACGUUCUUAUCAUGUGUCCAGUCGGAGAUUGUUUUAACUCAACCAGAGGCACAAAGUGGCCAUCCCGGAGCCACCCUGAGACUGACCUGUAAAACCAGCGGCUUCGAUCUUACCAGUUACUGGAUGAGCUGGGUCCGACAGGUUCCCGGACAGGGGCUGGAGUGGCUGCUUGAAUACAAAAGUUCAUCCAGCAGUAACUAUGCCCCAGCGAUUAAGAAUCGAUUUACUGCGUCCAAAGACACUUCAAACAACAUCUUUGCGUUGGAGAUGACGAACCUGAAGAUCGAAGACACCGCCAUCU